rnacentral:rRNA from 1 species
CGUCUAUAUACGUAGUAGCAUAUCAAUAAGCGGAGGAAAAGAAACUAACUAGGAUUCCCUCAGUAACGGCGAGUGAAGCGGGAAGAGCUCAAAUUUGAAAUCUUCAAGGUUUUACCUUGACGAAUUGUAGUUUAAAGAAGUGUUUUCUGUUGGAAGUUUUGGUAAAAGUUCUUUGGAAAUAGGACAUCAUAGAGGGUGAGAAUCCCGUAUUUGACCAUUAUUUCCAACUUUGUGAUACACUUUCAAAGAGUCGGAUUGUUUGGGAAUGCAGUCCAAAAUGGGUGGUAAAUUUCAUCUAAAGCUAAAUACUGGCGAGAGACCGAUAGCGAACAAGUACCGUGAGGGAAAGAUGAAAAGAACUUUGAAAAGAGAGUUAAACAGUACGUGAAAUUGUCAAAAGGGAAGCGUUUGACACCAGUGUUGUUUUCUCGAAAAUCAAUUAAAAAUGGCGGGAUUUUGUGUUGUAUUGACUUUAUCAGCUUUCUGCACUUUUUUCCUUGUCUUUUUUAAUGCACUUUUCGUUUAACAAGUCAACAUCAUAUUUCUUUUGUUGUAAAAGGGUCAUUGGAAGGUGGCUUUCUUUUCGGAGAAAGUGUUUAUAGCCUUUGACUUCUGCAAUCGGAGAGAUUGAGGUCUGCAGCGUAGAUCCUUCGGGGUUAGAUACAUUUGUGCUAAGUUAUAGCCUUUCAUAGACAACUUGUUGACUAUGAUCAGUCAUGUAGCUUACUCGCUUAUGUUAUUUUACCUACGCUUAGGAUGUUGACGAUCAGCUGAGCGCG